GACGAACGCUGGCGGCGUGCUUAACACAUGCAAGUCGAACGGUGUAGCGCCUUCCUUUUUGGUGGGUGUGGAUGAGUGGCGAACGGGUGAGUAACACGUGAGUAACCUGCCCCCUUCUUCUGGAUAACCGCAUGAAAGUGUGGCUAAUACGGGAUAUUCUGGGUCUGUCGCAUGAUGGGUCUGGGAAAGAUAUUGUUUCGGUGGGGGAUGGGCUCGCGGCCUAUCAGCUUGUUGGUGGGGUGAUGGCCUACCAAGGCGGUGACGGGUAGCCGGCCUGAGAGGGUGGACGGUCACAGAGGGACUGAGACACGGCCCAGACUCCUACGGGAGGCAGCAGUGGGGAAGAUUGCACAAUGGGCGCAAGCCUGAUGCAGCGACGCCGCGUGAGGGAUGGAGGCCUUCGGGUUGUGAACCUCUUUCGCCAGUGAAGCAGGCCUGCCUCGUUUGUGGGUGGGUUGACGGUAGCUGGAUAAGAAGCGCCGGCUAACUACGUG
rnacentral:rRNA from 1 species